AUUGAACGCUGGCGGCAUGCCUAACACAUGCAAGUCGAACGAAUGGCGGACGGGUGAGUAAUUUCUUGGAAACUGCCUGAUGGAGGGGGCUAACUACUGGAACCCGUCGCUAAUACCGCAUACCAUCAGAUGUGCCCCGGUGGGAUUAGCUAGUUGGUGUGGUAACGGCUAACAAAGGCGACGAUCCCUAGCUGGUCUGAGAGGAUGACCAGCCACACUGGAACUGAGACACGGACCAGACUCCUACGGGAGGCAGCAGUGGGGAAUUUUGAACAAUGGACGAAAGUCUGAUGCAGCAAUGCCGCGUGGAUGAAGAAGGCCUUCGGGUUGUAAAGUACUGUUCGUGGGGAGGCGGUACCCGAAGAAGAAGCAACGGCUAACUACGUGCCAGCAGCCGCGGUAAUAC
rnacentral:rRNA from 1 species